rnacentral:rRNA from 1 species
UACGUAGGGUGCAAGCGUUGUCCGGAAUUAUUGGGCGUAAAGAGCUCGUAGGCGGCUCGUUGCGUCGGCUGUGAAAACCCGCAGCUCAACUGUGGGCUUGCAGCUGAUACGGGCGGGCUGGGAUUCGGUAGGGGAGACUGGAAUUCCUGGUGUAGCGGUGAAAUGCGCAGAUAUCAGGAGGAACACCGGUGGCGAAGGCGGGUCUCUGGGCCGAUAUCGACGCUGAGGAGCGAAAGCGUGGGGAGCGAACAGG